rnacentral:rRNA from 1 species
UACGUAGGGUGCAAGCGUUGUCCGGAAUUAUUGGGCGUAAAGAGCUCGUAGGCGGUUUGUCACGUCUGCUGUGAAAACUGGAGGCUCAACCUCCAGCUUGCAGUGGGUACGGGCAGACUAGAGUGCGGUAGGGGAGAUUGGAAUUCCUGGUGUAGCGGUGGAAUGCGCAGAUAUCAGGAGGAACACCGAUGGCGAAGGCGGUUCUCUGGGCAUUACCUGACGCUGAGGAGCGAAAGUGUGGGGAGCGAACAGG